AAGGGACAGGGAAGGGACACUGGGGACACACUGGGGACAGGGAAGGGACACAGGGGACAGCCAGGGGACACAGGGGACACACAGACUGUCCCCAAACGGUGCAGCUCCUCCAGGUAAGGGACACACUGGGGACACUGGGGACAGGGAAGGGACACAGGGGACACUGGGGACAGCCAGGGGACAGGGAAGGGACAGGGAGGGGACUCAGGGGACACCGGGACAGCCAGGGGACACAGGGGACACACAGAGCAGGGACUGUCCCCAAACGGCGCAGCUCCUCCAGGUUCAUCAAGCGUCGGAAGUUCGAUGACGAGCUGGUCGAGUCCAGCCUGGCCAAGCUCCCAGUUAAUCCCAGUUCCAUCCCAGUUAACUCCAGUCCAUCCCAGUCAAUCCCAGCUCACUCCCAGUCCCUCCCAGUGCCUCCCAGUGACUCCCAGUCUGUUCCAGGUUCAUCAAGCGUCGGAA
rnacentral:lncRNA from 1 species